GACGGGGGAUGCAAGUGUUAUCCGGAAUCACUGGGCGUAGAGCGUCUGCAGGUGGUUUCCUAAGUCCACUGUUAAACCUUGAGGCUCAACCUCAAAUCUGCAUUGGAAACUAGGAGACUUGAGUAUAGUAGGGGUAGAGGGAAUUUCCAGUGGAGCGGUGAAAUGCGUAGAUAUUGGAAAGAACACCGAUGGCGAAGGCACUCUACUGGGCUAUUACUGACACUCAGAGACGAAAGCUAGGGGAGCAAAUGGG
rnacentral:rRNA from 1 species